rnacentral:tRNA from 1 species
CCCUAACUAGCUCUGUUGGUAGAGCAUGAGACUCAUAAUCUCAGUGUAGUGGGUUGUGUCCCAUGUUGGGGG